rnacentral:rRNA from 1 species
CCAGCACCCCGAGUGGUCGGGACGAUUAUUGGGCCUAAAGCAUCCGUAGCCGGCCUUACAAGUCCCCCGUUAAAUCCAGCUGCUUAACAGAUGGGCUGCGGAGGAUACUAUAAGACUAGGAGGCAGGAGAGGCAAGCGGUACUCAGUGGGUAGGGGUAAAAUCCGUUGAUCCAUUGAAGACCACCAGUGGCGAAGGCGGCUUGCCAGAAUGCGCUCGACGGUGAGGGAUGAAAGCUGGGGGAGCAAACCGGAUUAGAUACCCGGGUAGUCCCAGCUGUAAACGAUGCGGACUCGGUGAUGGACUAGCUUUAUGCUGGUCCAGUGCCGCAGGGAAGCCGUUAAGUCUGCCGCCUGGGUAGUACGGUCGCAAGACUG